AGAUAUGAUCCAGAGUACCACGGGACACGUGAAACCCUGUGGGAAGCAGGAGGGACCACCCUCCAAGGCUAAAUACUACCUAGUGACCGAUAGCGUAUAGUACCGUGAGGGAAAGGUGAAAAGAACCCCGGGAGGGGAGUGAAAUAGAACCUGAAACCCUGCACUUACAAGCUGUGGAAGAACAUUUCUUGUGUGACCGCGUACUUUUUGUAGAACGGGCCAACGAGUUACGUUAAGUAGCCAGGUUAAGCACUUAAGGUGUGGAGCCGUAGCGAAAGCGAGUUUUAACUGAGCGUUCAGUUACUUGA
rnacentral:rRNA from 1 species